rnacentral:misc_RNA from 1 species
UCCGGUUUGUCACCGGCAGUCUCGCAUGAGUCCCCAACUAAAUGCUGGCAACAUGCGACGGGGGUUGCGCUCGUUGCGGGACUUAACCCAACAUCUCACGACACGAGCUGACGACAGCCAUGCACCACCUGUGAUCGCGCCCCGAAGGGAGAGUGUGUUUCCACGGGUACGACCUACAUGUCAAGCCCAGGUAAGGUUUUUCGCGUUGCGUCGAAUUGAACCACAUGCUCCACCGCUUGUGCGGGCCCCCGUCAAUUCCUUUGAGUUUCAAUCUUGCGAUCGUACUCCCCAGGUGGAUCACUUAACGCUUUCGCUAGGAGACUGACCGUAUAUCGCCAAUCUCGAGUGAUCAUCGUUUACGGCGUGGACUAC